ACUUAAAACAAAUGCCUGUUAUUUUGAAUUUACACAAAAAAUAGAUCAACAUUAAAAUCUGUUUAUGUUAUAUUUAACACCCAAAAUCUGCCCAUUAGAUACUUGUUUUGAACUUUUUUAACAAACUACUAUUUUAACAGUCGCACAAAUACCAUCACAGAAAGAUUUGUUGUAGCUGGUAGCAAAAAAUACUCAUUCAGCAUUUAAAUCAAAGUCUAUGCUGCGAUAAGAUAAAUUGAAAGAUAAGUUUUGAAAGUUUUAAAGUUACAUUGCACAGCCAUCAGAAAAAUACUUCCACGUGAUACAAAAAAACCAUGUGUCAUGAUUAUAUUCUUCUGAAAGAAACAUUUACUAAACAAAAGCAAACAUAUAGGAAGAGUCAGAAAUUGCGAUCCUGGAGAUUAUCCCAUAGAUGUUCAGCAAGCUUUGGAAAGAUCUAUAGAGUUUUAUGAAGGCUGCUAAUGGCUAGAGAGUUUAAUGACUAGACUGCAUUUAGUAACCAUGGUAAUGCUCAUGUUUUUCUUUGAGAAUUUCAAAUAGCUGUACAAUAUUACUUGUGAGAAAAUUUCAAACAUAAAUUUUUAAUCAGAGUUUUUCAGGAUCUGCUGCAUAUUUUAUUGGAACACUAUUUAACAUUAAAGUAUGUAAGAAUCAGCUAAUUAAUAAUAAUGGCGAUGUUGUCAGCAUAUUUGUUGUAAAUCUAAAUGGAUUAUUAUGAUGGAAUAAUGAGGAAAUCUUACUAAAUGUUUCAACAAUUAUUAACUCAUUGGUGCCUGAAGAUUAAACCAUGGUUUUACGAAAAUACACAAAGUAUGGUGAAAUUACGUGAAGGAUGGCGAAAUAAGAAGAUUGCACCAUUUUGUGUUUAGUUUAAGUUUUCAUUCACUACAUGACACAUCUAUUAUAAACUGUUAAUAAUUUCUUAUAGCUAAAUAAUUAAAAAUAGUUAAAAUAACAUUAACUUUUCAGAAAGAAAUGGGUCCAAAAAAGAAUAAAAAUGCGCAUAUAAGUGAGAGUGUCAGACGACCAUUAUAUCUGUUAACAAUCCCAAUUUCACAGCUACCAAAUACACAGCUUCCAACCAAUGGUAGUAUUUUAAGAUAUUAUCAAUAUCUAAUUUCAAGUAAGAAGAAAAGAUUUAUCAAAACACAAAUUAACAUGGCCUGUAAGAAGCAAAAAGGAACAAGAAACUUGGUAUGCAAAGAGAUUUUUGUGACCUUGAGGCGCAAUCAAACUGCUUAAUUAGACAAAUAGUCAACAUUUGGACCAAAGCAGGAUUUGAAGCAUACAUCAUUACAGAAUAUUCAAUUCUUGACAAUUUCAAGCUCUACACAAGAAGUAUCAAUUUUUGAAAAAAUGUGUUACUCUGAAAGAUAUCAAAGAUACUAGAGAAGAUAUUAAGAAUGAAUUCAUUUCAACAAUGGAACAGUUGUUUGACAUAGGCAAAGAUAACUUAGAGCAACUGAUGAGAAGUGACAAAAUAACACCAAGAACACCAGCUGCUAUUGAAGAAGACAUUUUUUUUAUAGACCAGCAAAUAGACAGGAAGUGGUUUAUUUCUAAGUCAGAUGAAGGGCUAGCUACCAUUAUUGAGAAACCCCAUGAAAGGUAUAAGAGACAAGAACAAUUGAGAAUGAAGUACCUAGAGGAGAAACAAGCUGAAGAAAGAUGUAAAUCAGCUCCUCCACCACUUGAUGAAAUUGAUGAAGACUUGACGCCAACUAAGAAAAGAUACAAAUUUGGUCCAGCCAAUUUGGAUAUGGAUAUGUUUGAUCCAACUUUGACAGAUCAAGAAGACUCAUUAGAAGGUAGUGAUGAUGACUUUGAAUAUAGUGCUGCUCGAGUUAAAACCCCAAAAAUCUUACCUAAAGGCUCAAUGCAAGAUCACAAGAGAAGAACUGAUGGCAGUAACUACACCUAUUUGUGCUAGAGGGUUAAUCAGCAUUAAAAUACAAACCUGGCUGUUGUUGUCUGUUGUUAAUUACCUGGGAGAUGUUAAUCAGAUGGGCAUUUCUAAAUCCAGUAUUUCAAGAGAAAGUCAAAGGUUAUUUCAAUCAGAGAAAAUUAAAGAGAGAUAAUGGCUGGAAAACACCUUGUUCUCCACUGUGAUGGCAAGCUGUUAAAAUAUUUAGAUGAAAAUACCUUGCAAUCUGUCGUAAGAGAUAGUUGCUGUCAGUGUUACCAGCCCUGAUUUUGAAAAAUAAAAAUCUCUUACUUGGUGUUUUACCUGCAGAGUCUGACAAAGCUGUUGAUUAAAUAGAAAUUAUUCACAACUUACUUGAGUCCUUUGAAAUAUGCAAUGAAAUUUUCGCAAUUGUUGCAAAUACUACCAAUGGUUAUACAGGAGCUCAUGCAGGAAUUCUAACCAGAUUGUGCUAUAUUUUGGGAAAACCUGUUCUCUGGCUGUUAUGCAGACAUCACAUGUUUGAAAUAGCAAUACAUAGGGCAAUUGUAAUUGUCCUUGGAGUUACUGCUGCACCACAUCGACAGUUCUAAGAUUUCAAGAAGGACUGGGAAGUAUAUCACGCUAUAGCUCAAAAAGUUGACCUGUUUGAGUUUAAGAAAUUUGAUGAGAAGAAGCUGGAAGUUGAAUCUGAACUUCAUAAGCUUUACCUGGAUGCUCAGGAAUAUCUGAAGUUUGCUCUUAAUUACGAAGUGUUUCCAAGAGAUGAUUACAAUCAUCUAGUAAAGUAUGCUGCAUUUUAUUUAAAUGUCUUAUCACCAAAGCUGAAUGAUUUUGAAAUUCAUCAACCAGGAGCCAAUCACAAUGCUCAUUUUAUGGCUGACAGUCUUUACAAUUUAGCUUUUGUUAUGACAUCAGGCAGCUUCAUUUGAAAAUAGAUAGUGGUUGUUGAAGCAGUAUGAGAUUGAUGACACUAUCCAACUUUUGUGUGAUAUGCUUCAGUCAUCGAAUAUGACUUUGACACAUAAUGCAUCUUUUGCCAUAGCAAGACUGCCUACCCUAACUAAACCCUCAGUUGAUGCAGCCGCACUCUGUUGCAAGUCACGCAAUAAGAUAGUUGAUGUAGCAGCACUUCCUUGUAACAACAGACUAUAAGAUAGUCAAUGUAGCAACACUCCGCGCUUGUUUUACUGUUAAAAUAAAAAAUAAAAAUAAAAAUAUUCAGAAUGUUUUUAAAAACAUGUUUUACGAAUAUUAGAACAUCAAAGUAUGAAAAAGAUGCUGUUUGGUAUUGUUAGCUUUUUAAAGAAUACUCACAAUCAGAUCUUGCUUUGUUUUCACUGUUUUGCAUGGCUCAAGUGUUAUUGUGAAUGGAUAUUUUGCAAGUACUCAUUUGCAAUGUUUUACUCAAGUGAAGGUGCAAAAUGUUCUUUAAAUGAAGUAGUGUUUAAUGACACUCCAUAAUCAGAUUAUUUUACACCCUCACCUCCUCAAUUACAUGUUCAUGGUAAAACAGAGAUUUUUAUUGAGUGGGAUCCUCCUAAAAAUCUUCUUGGCAGAUUAAAUUAUUAUGAACUUAGAAUGGAUAACAUGGUAAUAUAUAGAGGAAUUGACUGCUGUUUUACUGCGCAAGCUCUUCAUCCAACUAAAGUUUAUAGCUUUACAGUUUCAGCUUGGAUGAGUGAGGGUAGAUGCAAAAGUUUACCCAGAACACGUCGAAUCAGCAAGCAAUCUACAUCAUCGUCUAUUUUAAAAAGAAGAAUCUCUAUUAAAGAGUAAUUUGAAUCGCGAUCCAACGAAUUGUUAGUAUGCGACUAUAUGCAACUUGUAUAGUUAAAAAAAUUUAAGUAAAAAUAAAAAAUGACAAAAGUG
rnacentral:misc_RNA from 1 species